rnacentral:lncRNA from 1 species
UGCAAACAAGUUUAUCAAUAUCUUAAUGGUGUAUGACUUAGGAUUAAAUAAAAGAAACUUGAUGUAAUGCCAACUGAAGUGGAUAUCACUUACUAGAAGACUAACCAAAGUCCAGUAAGGUCCAUGAGUUGGGCUUGGUAUCUCCUGAUGCAUGACCAAUUAGGCAGAGUAGAAAAAGGAGUACCUAGUAUCUCUGCAUGACCAAGUGGCUCAUGGCAGGGGUAUUGGCCAUUUCUGGGGUAGUCCAUAGAUACAUUAUCCAUCUAGUCGUCGCAUCCUACCCC